UUCGGGGUGCUUGCCGGUGGUCGGCAGGCUGAGAUCAUACCCAUAGAACCUGACCCGGAUAAUGCCGGCGCAGGGAGUUUG
rnacentral:ncRNA from 1 species